GGCCCCGUAGGCAAGUGGUUAAGCCGUCGGCCUUUCAAGCCGGAGACGAGGGAUCGUAACCCUCCGGGGUCACCA
rnacentral:tRNA from 1 species